rnacentral:rRNA from 1 species
AACGAACGCUGGCGGCAUGCCUAACACAUGCAAGUCGAACGAAGCCUUCGGCUUAGUGGCGCACGGGUGCGUAACGCGUGGGAAUCUGCCCUUGGGUUCGGAAUAACAGUUAGAAAUGACUGCUAAUACCGGAUGAUGUCUUCGGACCAAAGAUUUAUCGCCCAAGGAUGAGCCCGCGUAGGAUUAGGUAGUUGGUGGGGUAAUGGCCCACCAAGCCGACGAUCCUUAGCUGGUCUGAGAGGAUGAUCAGCCACACUGGGACUGAGACACGGCCCAGACUCCUACGGGAGGCAGCAGUGGGGAAUAUUGGACAAUGGGCGAAAGCCUGAUCCAGCAAUGCCGCGUGAGUGAUGAAGGCCUUAGGGUUGUAAAGCUCUUUUACCAGGGAUGAUAAUGACAGUACCUGGAGAAUAAGCUCCGGCUAACUCCGUGCCAGCCGCCGCUGUAA